CGUUGGGACUUUCCCUCUCAGACAUUUAUUGGUUCAUUCAUUCGUUCAUUUUGCUGUAACUCACAGUGGCCCCCAUCCUAAGGUGCACUGCUGGGAUUGGUCUAUGUGCUGAUGAUGUUCUCCUUGUCUUCAGAGUAGAGACGGAGUUUCACCGUGUUAGCCAGGAUGGUCUCGAUCUCCUGACCUCGUGAUCCGCCUCGUGAUCCUCCUGAUCCUCGAAGCCGCCCGCCUCGGCCUCCCAAAGUGCUGGGAUUACAGGCGGGAGCCACCGCGCCUGGCCGUUCCCUGGGUCUUUUGAGUGGUGUGAGUUGAAUGGUGGUAGAUUCUAGGACAGUUCAGUAGGAGCCCGUCCUCAAAAGGAAAAUAACAGAACUUCCUGCUAAUCUGGUAUUGGGGCU
rnacentral:lncRNA from 1 species